rnacentral:lncRNA from 1 species
CUGCGGUGAGCGCUGGGCCCAACCCCCGGCCUGGAGCAGCGCCCCAACUCCGAGCACCGUGGAGCACCGGCUGCCAGCUGAGACCCCAGAGGGGUAACUAACGGCCUGAGGAAGGCAUUUCUUCGGGGAACAUGGCGUGCCCGUCGUGGCUACGUUCUGCCAAGCCCUGUGACGUUGGAGGGGAGCCGCCUGCAUCCCCCGCUCAGCCAGUGUUUCUAGACUCCGAGACAUCUGGAACUCGGAAGUGAGGCCAGGGCUCCAGGAAGACUCCCUGAUGACGCACUGGCCCGCAGCCCAGGCUCAGCAUUUAACAAAUGUAAAAACCACUCCUAGCUUGGGAGCUAUUGGAAAACAGGCAUCUGGAACCACAGUCUGCAGACCCCUGUGUGUACUCACUGUCAGUGCGGUGGGAACAAAAAGGCAGCAACGGCUGGGUCAGCCCAGGAAAGAAGACAUUUCCCAGUGGAGAGAAUGUCUGAGUGGAUAUUGAACUUUCCAGGCCACAAAGAGGAACAAGAGCAUUCAACACUGAGGAGCCUGCCUCUGCAAAGGCAGGACCCACAUGCUGGAUGUGGAGCUGGAUGGUUCCACGUGGCAAGGUUUGGGAGGCUUCUGAGAACCUGGCCUAAUGAUUCC